rnacentral:rRNA from 1 species
GAAAAAAUUUAAAUUUUUAUAGUGAAUUAUGUAUUGUGAAAGAAUUUUGAAAUAUUUGAAAAUAAAAUUAGAGAUAAAGUAAUUUUAAUUUAUUGUAUCUUGUGUAUCAGAGUUUAUUAAAAAAAUUUUUUUUAUAAAAAAUUCUCGAAUUUAAAAGAGAUAAUUAAUUAUAAAAGUUAUUGUAGCAUAAAUAUUUUAAAUAAUUAAUUGGAAAUGAAAUGUUAAUCGUUUUUAAAUAUAUCUAGUUUUUUUAGAAAAAAAUUUAAUUUUAAAUUUAUUAAAAGUAAUUAUUUAUUUAUUAAUUAAUAAAUAAUUUUAUUAAAUUUUAUAUUUUAAGGGAUAAGCUUUAAAUUAAAAUAAAUAUAAUAAAAAUUAAGUUUAAUAUUAUGAAAAUUAUAUGAUUUAUAUUGUUAAUUAAUUAUAAUUUUAUUAUAAAUAAUUUCAUAAAAAAUAAAAUUUAAUUAAAAUUUAUUUUUUUAUAAAAAAAUAAAUUUUAAUUAAAUUAAUUUAGGUAUAAUGAUAAAAUUAGUAUAUAAAUUAUAAAUUAAAUAAAAUUUAAUUUAUUUAUAAAGUUAAUUAUUUUUAAGGAAUUCGGCAAAAAAUUAUAUUCACUUGUUUAUCAAAAACAUGUCUUUUUGAAAAUAAUAUAAAGUCUAAUCUGCCCACUGAUUUUAAUUGAAGGGCUGCAGUAUUUUGACUGUACAAAGGUAGCAUAAUCAUUAGUCAUUUAAUUGAUGACUUGUAUGAAAGAUUGGAUGAAAUAUAAACUGUCUCUAAAAUAAAUUAUAGAAUUUAAUUUUUUAAUUAAAAAGUUAAAAUAAAUUAAAAAGACGAGAAGACCCUAUAGAGUUUUAUAAUUAAAUUUAUUAAAAUUAUUUGUAAUAUUUAAAAAUUUAAAUAUAUUUAAUUAUUUUAUUGGGGUGAUAAAAAAAUAUAUUAAACUUUUUUUAAUAAUUUAAACAUAUAUAAGUGAAUAAAUGAUCCAAUUUUAUUGAUUAUAAGAAAAAAUUACCUUAGGGAUAACAGCGUAAUUUUUUUUUUUAGUUCAAAUAAGAAAAAGAGUUUGCGACCUCGAUGUUGGAUUAAGAUAAAAAUUAAAUGCAGAAGUUUAAAUUUUUGAUCUGUUCGAUCAUUAAAAUCUUACAUGAUCUGAGUUCAGACCGGUGUGAGCCAGGUUGGUUUCUAUCUUUUAGAAUAUAAAAUAUUUUAGUACGAAAGGAUUAAAUAUUUAAAUUAAAUUUAAUUGGGAUGA